UACGUAGGGUCCGAGCGUUGUCCGGAAUUAUUGGGCGUAAAGGGCUCGUAGGUGGUUUGUCGCGUUGUUCGUGAAAACUCACAACUCAAUUGUGGGCGUGCGGGCGAUACGGGCAGACUGGAGUACUGCAGGGGAGACUGGAAUUCCUGGUGUAGCGGUGAAAUGCGCAGAUAUCAGGAGGAACACCGGUGGCGAAGGCGGGCUUCUGGGCA
rnacentral:rRNA from 1 species